UCCCUCGUAGCUUGGUUGGUAAAGAAUCUGCCUGCAAUGCAUGAGACCCAGGUUCGAUUCCUGGGUAGGGAA
rnacentral:tRNA from 1 species